rnacentral:lncRNA from 1 species
GUCUUUUUAGGGCUGCACCUGUGGCAUACAGAAGUUCCCAGGCUAGGAUCUAAUUGGAACUAUAGCUGCCUGCCUACAUCACAGCCACAGCAACUCCAGCUCUGAGCCAGGUUUCCAAUCUACACCACAGCUCACAGCAGCACUAGAUCCUUGGCCCACUGAGCAAGACCAGGGAUCAAACCCACAGGGAGAGAGGAAGAGUGACAGAGAGAGAACAAGGAAAAUCUAAGAAAGCUACUCAUGCAAAAACUAUUUAAUCAAAGAGGAAAGACAAUUAUAACAUAUGUUAAUCUUCUGCAGAGGUUAUAAUUAAAUGCUUUGGAGAACCACCCUUUUCAGGGUGAUCCUCCAACAUCUGUUGUGAAGACACAUGGCACUGUGCAGUGACAAAUCACUUCAGCACUUGGGGGACUUCUGGGGACCUCAGGCACUGCCAGGGUCCUUGUGCUUGAAGCCCAGACCCACCCCCACUGUCCUGUAGGACGUGCUUUGCUCCUGAGUGCUCUUCCAGAUUGUCCCUGCUGUGCGUCACACUGCAGUCACCAUGCGUUCAAACAGGAUCUCGGGGCCAGAAGUGGUCUUGUGACUAUCUGAUCCCUUUCCCUUCAUGUUUGCAGAUGGGGCUACUUGAUCCUACCUAUGUCCUAGAGCUGGCUUGCCCUACAGCAGGGCUGUUUAAUUCUCUGUCGAGAUUUCACUCUACUCCACCAUGCCCCACUUGCUCUGGCGUUUUUUUUCUUACGUUGGCUUGGAAUUUGGAUGUGUUCUUUGUUUAACAGGAUCAGCAUUAUAAUGAGGUCCUAGGGUAUUUGAAGUUUGUGGAGAGGUAGACAGAUGAAAUGAUUCUCUUCUCCAUCAUGUGGUCCAUCGCCAGUGAGAAACAUGGACUAUCAUCACUAUUCCUCUACUUGGCUUUCUGGAGAGUAGGAGAGAAAGGAGAGGUGACUUAAGAUAAAGAAGGAGAAAAGAAAAAAAAAAGGAUGAGAAAACAGGAGGCUAUGGGAAGAGAGAAGAUUGAGAGAUACUAGGACAGAGAGGGAGGGUGGGAUAAAGAGAGAGAGAGAUGGGGAAGAGGGCAAGAAGAGCUAGGGAAGCUGGUCCAGGGAUGCAGGAAAAGGGCAUCAAAUUAAGACGCCAUCAAAAGGAGCUGAACACACUUUAUACCCAUUCUACUUCAACACCUACUUCCACUGUAACUCAAAUAUGCAGUUCUAUGCACACUGAAGACCACAGGAUUUGGCAGUUUUGCCAAACAAAAGGCAGAGAUGAUAAAGCUGUGACAUCACAUAAACAGACACAAGGUGUCAAAUAAUGAAAAAUAGGCCCACAUGGUAAGAACAUGAUAAAUGUAUUCACAGCCCAGGAGAAAUAGGGGUGGGCAGUCUCCUUGGUAGCUCUUUGGGGCUGCAGUUACUGGUAUGUGCCAAAAUGCCCAGUAAAUGGGGUUCUUGACAAUUGGCCUUGGGCUGAAACAACAAGUCACAUGGUGCUGAUGUCAGCCCUCUCAUUUCCCUUCAACAAUCCACUGCAUACAAGGGCCCACCAUGUCUUCAACGAUAAGGACCCUAUAACGAUGGUAAGGACCACCACAUAUUGCAAGUCUGACUUUGUGUGGCUACUUUAUCUCAUUUAAUCCUCACAAUGAUAAGGAGGUAAUAUAAUCUCAACAUCUGGCUCAUAGUCUUACUGUGCAAUCUGAAACAAAUGAACCUCUCAGCACCUUGGUUUUCUCACUGAUGAAAUAGAAUUAAUAGGAAUGUCUAACUCAGAGGGUUGUUUGGAGGAUUAAAUGAGACAACAGAAAGCACAGCAGGGCCAGAUAUGUCACAUGCACUUAAUCAGUAUUAGGUGAUAUGAUCGUUGAUAUUACCACACUUUAUGGAGGAGCAUAGGAAAUGAAGUAACUCUCCCCAAAUCAAUGGAGAUCAGACCAUAGGCUGGAACCCAGGUGUAUCUAAGGGUACAUGCCACUUGGACAUGAGCUGCGGCUAUUUGUUUUGUUACUCUGUCUGUACGAACUGACCCCAAAGAUCCUGGUCUUUCUAGUGUCCAAUGCAGCCUCCAGGGAAAGGGAAUCCAGAAAAUCAUCAGCCCAACCAGGGAAAGCUAAAGGGAUGCAUUAUUCAGUUCAAAAUAUCUUCUUCUUCCCACUCCCUUGUCCUCAUCAAUGAGAGAAGCAAAGAGUCCUUGUCCAUCCUCUUUUUCACUGACUCUCAUACCCAUAUGGCCCCAUUGACAAAUGCCAUAAGUAUUGAUGAUUACACAAAAUAGACACUCACUCAUUCAGAGAAAGUUAGCUAAAAAGAAGUGUCUUGCCUUGGUGCCCUAAAUCCAUAGAAUUCUGAAUGCCAUUAGAUUUGAAUGUCAUCAGUUGAGUUAUAAAAAGGAAUGUUUUCAGAAGCAUUAGGAGUGGAGAGGAUAAAACACAUCUGUUAAUUUGCCUAUACCCAUCUAUUCACUUAGGGGACACCUACUAUUUACCAGCCAUUGUUGUAAGUGUUCAGGCUACAAUAAUAAAUGAGAUAGACAUGGGUUCUGCCUUCAUGGAACUAGAGCCCCUAGAUGGGGAGACAUUCUUAAUCCAAUAGGGGACUAUAUAUUUAAUCACACUAGUGAUACAUUCUAGGCAAAACAAGUGCUUGAAGCUACAUUCUAGGCAAAACAAGUGCUUGAAGCUAUCAGAGUCUAGAACAAGUAGGGAGAGCUUUCCUGAGGAAGGGCCUUUCAGGCUAAGCAGGAGUUGUCUCAUUGAGGAUGAACUGUCUAAAAGGAGAGAUUUGGGGGAGCUGGAGAAGCCAGGAAGAGAAGAGUUCCAUGCUAACCUGCUAGAUGACUCUAGAAAAGUCAGCUCAGGUCCCCACAACACUUCCAUCAACACAAUAUGGCAGGAAGGAGAACUUAAUGCUCUCCAGUUCUCACAAUUUCUCUUGACUCUCUUUCCCUAUGUUCAAACUGAGGGUAUAUCAGAGAAUGAGAAGAUUCUGGUCCAGGCAAAGGAAAGAAAAACACCUUUUUGGUUAGAAUCGGGCUCUCUCCAAUGUAGGAAGCAAGUAAAAAUUGUCCUGGGAUAGAGAAACCAUCAUUUCUUUUCUCCAUAUUCAACAUCUAAUAUUAAGUUUCCCCACAAGGCUCAAAGCCCAGGGCUCCAACUCCAAAAGAAAGGCCAUGUACAGAUUUUAUGAUUGGGCAUCCCAGAUCCUGGUUUGGUAGAUGGGCUAUGAUUGAUCUGAAUUCUCCAAUUUUCCUUACCAAUGAAAAUGAAAAGUUAAGACAACUAAUUUCUUCAGGUAGAAAGAAAAACAAUGCACUUGCAAAAAUGACUUUGGUGGUUUUACUGCUAUGAAGCAGGUACCCUAAAAACAACGGCUUUGUUCAGGAGAUACCUGUUGUGGUUGGGCUGUAUGUGAAAUUUUAGUCAGUUUGAUAAGGCCCUCUACUGGCAAUCUCCAAAAACACAGUCUCUUUCAAAUUAUUUUAAGUAAACCAUUUUAACUACUCCUAGGAAUAAAGUAUCUCACAUUCCUGAUUAUGCACAUCUGGGCUGAAAGAGUGAAAAGAAAACGAGAAAGGGAAGAAACAAAUGUCGUCAUUUCAAGUGGGCUAUUCAUUUAGCUAUUCAUAAAAUAACAUUACAUCAAGCAUCAUUUGCUUUCCUCUGAUGAAGCUAUGUUAGAUGUCAGAGGUACUUAGAAACAAAGGCUACACUAAAAUGUCUUGAGUAUUCAUGGAACCGUAAAACUAAAUUAUGAAUGUUAUUUACAAGCUACUAUAUACCAGAUUAUUUUUCUCCAUUUCCCCACACUAUUAUUAGACUAAAAGAAAUGUUGAAGACAGGCCUUUUAAAUUGCUUCUGAUAAAGCACAACUAAUAAUUAACCUCUCCCGCUUGACAACAGACCAAAAUAAAUAAAUAAAAGCAUAUGGCAACUUAAAACUUAACUACUCAUACAAAAAGAAUAUUUUAAAAGUAAGUUAUGAAGUUAUGGUUUGACACAUUUGUCAAAGGGCUGUUAGAACAAGUGGGAAAAUUUACCUAUACAUUCCUAGAAAACCAAGUCAGUUUUUAAAAAGAGGCAGUUAAUAACUUUAGGAAAGAUUUUUGACAGAAAGGAAAUGGUAUAAUAAUUUCUCUCAACAGUAAAUGUUAUUUACAAUCAUGAUAAAAAUAAGCACCGAAUACCCAUCUAAUCGAAAUUAUGAUAUAAUUUCAUCGGAGGAUAGGGACGGUAUAGAGGGUUUAAGAAAUAUAUAUUGUAAUAUGUCAUAAUAGAAAAUAAAUGAUAAAUAAUUUGACAUUAUAAAUAGACAUAGAGAACAAUUUUAAAAUAUUGCAUAAAAGGUAGGUAAAAGAAAAUCCUCUGAGAAGUAGGACUGGGAAACUGGGUGGGGAGGGUGGUUCAGAGGACUAUUACUCUCUCUAUAUAAACAUUUCAGUACUAUCACUUAAUAUAUGUCAAGUGAUAUACAUACUAAAUAUGUAUGGUAUAGUUUUCAUAUAGUUAUUUUAGUACUAUUUGGCUUUCUAAAUUAUGAGCAUGUUAUUUUUUUUUAUUUUUUUGUCUUUUUAGGGCCACACCAAUGACAUAUGGAGGCUCCCAGACCAGGGGUCAAAUCGGAGCUACAGCUGCUGGCCUACACCACAGCCACAGCAACGGAGGAUCCGAGCUGCAUCUUCAACCUACACCACAACUCAUGGCAAUGCUGGAUCCUCACUGAGUGAGGCCAGGGAUUGAACCUGAGUUUUCAUGGAUGCUAGUCAGAUUCAUUUCUGCUGAGCCAUGAUGGGAACUCCCUGUUUUUUGGUUUCUAAAAACAGAGCAGCACUGAGAAUGGAACCCAUUCAGGACAUAGCUUUUGAACAGGCCUGGAUCAGUGUUCCAAGUUUCCAGAUUCAAUCUGCCAAAUGAAGCAAGGACCCUUCGUGGAAGAGUUUGUCAGGCAUGUAUCACGACAGUAACACUUGUUCCCAUGUUUCAGAACUAACGGCUGGUUUUUCAACACCAUAAUAUUGAUCUGCCAUGUUAUCAUCCAAGUUCCUAUUCCAAAAUGUGUUUGGAACUUUCUUCUUAAACUAAGUCCAUUGAGUUCUUAGAGUGCAUUCAAAUUCUACUCAAAGGAAUCACUAAUCCAGAAAGUUUAUUUCUAAGAGGAGAGAUCUGGUUUCUUGCCCUGAAAAUAUCCAGAUUAAUUAAUGUAACUACUGGGAUGUACCUUGUGUAAUCGAGGCUUCCAAAAUGACAUGACACACUUCAUUAGACAAGUAUGUAUUGGGGCAGAGUCCUAAUGUUCCAUGUAUCUGAGAGAUUUAUUAUUUCAUCUAUAAAGAAAGCACAAUUGGGAAUCCAAAAUUCCAAAAGCAUUAAACUUUGUAGAAUUAGAGAAGAGAGAAAAACAAGGCUCUAAGGUAUCUUGUACAUAAUGAGUUCUAUGGCUUUGACAGUGUUCAGCCUCAACCAUUCUGGCUAUUACAACCACUGUCACAAAAUAAUACUACCACUUCCCUCAGUAAACCCUUCUAGGAUCAACCAAAUGGCCAACCGUUCUUUCUUUCUUUCUUUUUUUGUUAACCUAAGCCCUCUUGAUUACACUCUUGACCAAGCUGACUCAGCCUAUCAAUACCCAUACCAAGCAGGCAAAUAAUCUUGAUGUUUAGCCGUCAACUUGGGCCAACCCUAAGGGGAUUCAUGUCUGAGACGAAAAGAAAAACAAAAAUAGCAAAGGACUGGGCAUGGAUUUUGACACUUCUGAAAGACUAGAAAAUGUGAAUCACCACUUCAGUCGGUUGGCACCUGGAAGUGUUUAUCUGAUCUGCUGUUCUGCCAGCACCAUCGGUCCAGGAUGAAGACAAGGGAAAAAAAAAAAAAAAAAAAAAAA